ACCUCCCCUUCCCUCCCCCGCUCUUGGAGUGAAGACCAUCGCCAUGUGCGGCCUGCUGCCACCCAUGGUGUUGCUCCAGGACCUUCCUUCUAACAUCAGGAAGAAGUCAAGAGAUUCAAAGCAUGAGAAAGAUUUGAUGUGCUAUCUCUGGUUUGAAGAUGAAGGAGGCCCCAGCAAGGACUGAGCAAAGUGUCUAGGAGGUGAAACUAGCCCCUAGCUGAAAGUCAGCAUGGAAACAGGAACCUCAGUCCUCCAAAGGCAAGGAACUGUAUUGUGCCACCAAGAAUAAGCCUGGAACUGUUUUUUAAAUGCAAGAUCAUGUCAUCUAUUAGGUAGACCUGAGAGAUGGUGAGGUUGAGGAACCUGCCCCAAAUCACAUAAUUAUUAAAUGACUACCCACAAUGUCAAUGACUCCAGGCACUGCCCUCAGCAAAGCAAAAGGUCCCUGCAUUCCCACCAGCACGCUUCUGCCCUUUUAUGAAAAUGACCAACUGUUCUCCAGUCCAAUAAAAAGGCCCUGCUGUUUGACAAAGAGGCCAUUUUGGGCGGACACGUACCUGGUGGUGGGCGUGCAGCUGGGACCUCUGAGUGGGUGUGAAUAAUCUUUCUGUGGGUUGAGUUGUACCCAAGAACAAAGUAAGACCUGAGCCUCAGAAUGCAGCCUCUGUACUCUCUUUUAAAGAGUUUUGUUUAUCUUUAGGUUAAAUAACAUUCUAGAAUAUGUAAGCAAAAUCCCUGAGGUACACGGUGUAGUAGAACAGAUUGCACAAUAGUGAAGCUUGUGUUAGGCAUGCUGUAUACAUGGUGCUCAAUGGACAUUCCAGAAUCAUAUACA